UAUAUAUAUAUUUUAUAUAUAUAUAUAUAUAUAUAUAUAGAGUUGAGUUAGAAUACUAUCAGUAGUAAACGAGCCGUUUUACUACCGAUUUGUUUUCGAUGAUAGAACUUCCAAAUUGACGAUCGGCUCCGUUGAACAUGAUCUAUACCACUUGAAGUGUUUAGAAAUCAAAUUUCAAAUCUUUUCGACAUCAUUUGCCUAAUGAUCAAAGGGUUUCAAAAUUUGUAAUUUUAAUGGUCGAUAAGAGGCGUUUUCUCGUUUAACGGCGUAAAGAUAUCCAAAUCAAUUGAAUUUUUGUUAGAAAAUUCUUUAAACUAUUUAAAACAAGAUCUAUACUCUUGAUCUUGAUUACAAGACUCCUAUCAUCAUUUUUUAAAAAGUAUUCAUUUUCAGCCAUUCAUUUUUUUGUUCACUUGAUGGAUAAAAGAACAAUAUCGAAAGUGCGUGAAAUUUGAUUUCUAGGUAGUUUAAAUGAUUUAGAUUAUAUUUAACGGAGCCGACCGUCAAUUUGGAAGCUCUAUCAUCGAAAACAAAUCGGUAGUAAAACGGCUCGUUUACUACCGAUAGUAUUCUAGCUCAACUCUCUCUCUCUCUCUCUCUAUAUAUAUAUAUAUAUAUAUAUAUAUAUAUAUAUGAGGGUAUUUAAAUCUGUGAAAUUCAUACAACAUUAAUGCGUAUAUGUGAAUGCAAUUCUUUUUUGAAAGUAAUCAAAUUUCGGUGCGAUUCUGCUGCUUAACCCCAAAUUUCUCUUUUUAUUGGAAAAGCUGGGAACUUGUUAGGUUGAGCCCACUCUUAUAGUUUAUUAGAAUAGAACCCAUGUUUUGCUGGGUAGAUAGUAUUUCAAUCAAUUAAUAUAUAUAAUUUUUAAAAUUUUAAAAUUGAAAAAAUUAUAAUGAAAAAUACAAAACCAACUUAUAUAUAUAUUCUUUUAUAGAUGGGAAAAUUUCAAAUACUCCGGUGGUUUCGCAGUUUCUCACUUUAGUACUCUGUGGUUUAAAGUGUAUCAAGUUAGCACCAUGUGGUUUUGCAGUUUCUCACUUUAGUACCCUGUGAUUUAAAGUGUAUCAAGUUAGUAUCCUGUGGUUUCGCACUUUCUCACUUUAGUAUCCUGUGGUUUAAUAUUUCGUUAAAUUAUAUACAAAAAAAACUUCAUAUUUCGUUAAAUUAUAUACAAAAAAAAACUUCAGUUACCCUACCUAGGUUUAUCAAAUAUUCAUUUUAGUACCCUUUGUAUCCUUUAGUUUUAACUUUAUUACUGAUUUAAUAAAAAAAAUACCUCGAAAUGAAUAAUAAAAAAAAAAAAAAUGAAACCACAUGAUACUAACUUGAUGCAAAAAUAAAACCACAGAGUACUAACUUGAUACACUUUAAACCACAGGGUACUAAAGUGAGAAACUGCGAAACCACACGGUACUAACUUGAUACAUUUUAAACCACAUGGUACUAAAGUGAGAAACUGCGAAACCACAGAGGGAGUAUUUGAAGUUUUCCCUUUAUAUAUUAUAAAAGCUAUUUUUUUUAUACUAAUAUUUUUAAUUUUCAGUAUUUGUACAGUUAAAUAUUCUAAUAACUUUAAUUAAAAAUUCAAUCAAACUUAAUAGUUUUAGUAGCUAAUUUAUAAAUAAAUUUUUAAUUUAAGAGUUAAAAUUGGAGAAAUUAUUCUAAGUUGCCAAAUAUAUAAGAUCGUCUGUACCUUACUAAAAUUUAUUGGAAAAAUAUGUUAGUGUUUACAAAUGAUGUAUAUUAACACACCGUAUACUACAAUUUAUAUUAGAGAACUAAUUUCUAAUAUCAAAAUGUAAUUAAAUAUAUCUAAGCUAUGAAGUCUAAUAAUUUAAAUAUAUUUGCCGAAUUAAAUUUUAAAUUAUUAUUAGAGAUUUGAAGCACGAGGUCCAUGUAAUUAUAUACAUUUAGUCUAGAGAAUACUCACCGGACUUUUUGAAAAGCUCUUUUUCGUAGUUCUAAGAAAAAGAGGAGAAAUUUUUGCUUGCACCUUAUAUAUACUAAUAUUUUAUACAUCGUAAGUAUAUUAGAUGAUUGAUAAAAUACCUAAUAAUUAGUAUUAUAAAAUAAAAUAUAAUAUAGUAUAAUAUAAUAUAAAAUAUAAAAUAUUUUAAUAAUUGUUUGUAUUAUAGAAAUUUAUUUUUUAUUUAUAUUUUAUAUUCGGUCUACGGCUCAAUUGGUGCGUGGAAAAUUUAUAUUGAAUGAGUGACGUGUUUUUAUUGCCUAGGGACUACAUCAGAGACUUGGCUCCUAAAGUUACCUUUAUGAUGUGACCGUACUGAAUAUUCUAUAUUCUAUAUAGAUAGUUGAAUAAGAGGGAGGGUUUUUUUUUUUUUUUUUUUAGACUUUUUUUGCAUUUGGUCUAGUAAAAGAAAAAUUAGUUUAAAAAUAAUCCUAACAAAUUUAUAUUUUCAAAAAAUAGCUCUAAACUUGUCACGCAGAUGCCACGCCAGCGCCACGUAAAUGGGGCUGGGGCCAAUUUGUUAAGUUGAACACGGUGAACCAUUCACUGUAUCUAAACACGGUGAAUGGUUCACCGUAUUUAGAGAAAAUACAAUAUAUAUGUAUUGCGAAAAAAUAUAAAAAAUAUAUAUGGAGGUAUUUGAACAUGAUAAAUGAAAAAGGAGGGGAAUAUAGAUAUGGAAUACAGUGAACCAUUCACCGUGUUGGAACACGGUGGAUGAUUCACCUUGUUCAACUUAAAAUUAUGUAUUGAUGUGACACUUGCAUGGCAGAAAUAUGACUAAAUUUGUAACUAUAAAUUUGAUGGGACUAUUUAUAAAAAAAAUAUUUUGAGGUAACCAAAGGCCCAAGAAAAAAGCCCCUUUUUUUAUGUUGAUUUUUUUUAUGUCGGUGGGUCACGGCGGACAAGCGUUCAAAUCUGGAUCUCAAUAGUCAAAGGAUAAAGGGUUUUUGUUGACUAAUUGUUUAAUAAAUAAGAGUUUUGAGUGUAACUUUUUCUAAGCAGAGAAAUUCUAUACGGUCACGCUUGCAGUGAUUUUUUUUAAGCGGAGAAAUUCUAUGCUGUCACGCUUACACUACAAAUUCUAUACUGUUACACUUGCACUACGACAUUAAUAACAAGCCAAUCGUAUUUUUUUUUUGUUUACAAAGUAUAAUAAAAAUUUUUUUUUUUAUAAUCAUGAUGAGAUAUAUAUCUCUAAAGAGAAAUAUUUGAUUGAUAUGUGAUGUCACGUCAUCAAUAUAUCCCGUAUAUUUUAAAAUUUUUUCUCUAGGAGGUAGAAGGAAGAAGAGGUAAAAGAGAGGGGAAAUACUGGUUAAGAGAAUAAUAAUUCUCUUGUGAUACUACAGUAGGCAAAAUGGCUUGUUCUUUUCUUAGUUCCAUGAGAAAGUACUAAUAAAGAAAAGUAGUCUCUUUUUUUUUUUUUUUCGCAAAUAAUAUCACCUUGCGCUUACCAAAAUAAUACUAGUAAAGUGACCCACACAUUGCGAUUGACUAAUACUAUAAAAGACAGAAUGAUAAAGUUAAAUUUUUUAAAAAAAUUUAACUUACCACAAGACAUCAAUAAAUACAAAUAGAAUUAAAAGAAAGAGAAUAAAAAGAUCUUAUUUCAUUCCUUUUUAUUUUUUUGAAAAGUGGACAAAUAGAGAUAAGAGGAUAAGAAGGGGAAGCAUCAAAAAAAUGAGGGAAAAGGGGAGGGGAAAAAAAGGGUAAGAAUAAAAGAGGAACUACCCAUAUAACAAAUUUUAUAAAAAAUAAUGUAUAUAUAUAAAUAUAGAUUUCCACGCUCCCAUGGAAAAAUAGAAGCAUAUUUUUAGUCUAAUCGCAUGACUAGUAAUUUUAGCAGCUUCGCAGACACAAUUUCGCAGUCAAUUUCUCUCACUCCAAUGCAUUAUUUGGGAGCAAAUGCGAAGAUGAUUACGCGAGAGUCAGAUAAAAAAAUCGAAAGCAUUCGCUGAAAAGUUCAGAUUAUUGAAGCCAAGUUUGAAUCAGAUAAAAAAAUUCGGCACGGAACGAUUGAAUAAUUGUGAUCUUUAGACCUAACAAGAAACAUAAUCAUACCAAACCAUUUAAACACACAGAAGUAUACAUCUAAACAAAGAUAUUAGAAACCCAUACAUAAGUUGCUUUAUAGAAGUACAUCAUCUUAUGCAAAUUUCACACAUAAUAUCUUAGAACAGUGUUUGUUAUCAGCAAAUGAUCAUAGUACUUAGAGCACACACCUACGAAGCUCGUGGAAUAACCGGAAUGCAGUUUAUAAACAGAAGGGGGUAAAUACCAGUUAGGAGGUUACUACUUUUGCGAGGUUUGAAUCGCGGUCACGGUCGAGACCAUCGAGUCGACGCCGCAGACGUUGCGGCCCCUGCAGAUCCGGUAGUACCCGUCCUCGCCCCAGCUCUCGCCCCACGAGUUCUUUAUGAUCCAGUAGGGCUUCUCCUUGAAGCGGAUGGGGGAGUAGCCUGCGGAGCCGUAGCCGACGAGAAGAACACCGUGGUCUAAAUGCCUUCCGCAGAUGUACGGGCACGAGACUCCCCCGAUGUAUGUCUGCAUGAAUACUGCGUUGAUCCCGACUGCAGGUGAAGUGUUGUUUUACAGGAAGAUCAGCGACCAUUUCGGAUAUAUCCGAGUGAACCAACUAAGUAUUCAUGAGGAUAAUUUAAAUUCGUGUUUCCGAGCUCGGAGCUUUUGACGGCUGAAUAUUCAAACUAGUUACUGAUAUUUAUGUAACUAAAGAUAUCUUACAAAUGUAUACCCGCAAAAUCAUAAUCAUUAAUGUAAGUGAAUGAAGUGGAUGAUACCCCGGCUUUAGAUAAGGACAUUUUUGUAACGAUCAGCGCUUUUUCAUGGGUAUAUAUGAAAAAUUCAGAGAUUAUACGGGCAUUAGUGAAAAUGUAUUAUUACUUUAACUAAUGAAAAGUACUAGCAUUGGUAAUGAAAUAUAUAACCACAGAUGAUUUACUUGCGAGAGGGCCGUGUUUCACGAGAUUGGCAGCGAUUUGAUCUUCGUCGAUUGAGACGACGCUGAAGUUUUUAACCGAGGCAGCGAUCUUGGAUUUGUCGAAUUUGCAGCUGCCUCCGUCUGUCCCGGUGUAAGGGUAGUCUGCCUCGCUCUCCAGGCCGCCAGAUUUUAGCAGGUACUCGAAGGCGGUAGUCAUUAGCCCGCCAUUACAUCCUUGGUCACAUGCAUCCGCUUCUGAUGGAUCGCACUGCAAAAUGUACAUAACAGUGCAUGUAUGAGACAACUGAUUUGAUUUAACAUCCAGCUGGGCGAAGCGCAAAGCUCAAACCUAGAAAAUACGUCAAACACUCGAGGGUUACAAUUUCUUUUUUCGUUGUCAACAUAAGGAAUGGAUAUCGAUACAAUAUCACUUGGGUAGCCUCGAGAGUUGUUUUCACUUGAAGUCGGUUACCCACACUGCGAGUAUUUACCAGAGACAAGAGUCUAGUAGAAGAUACCUAGACUGCCUUGAAAAAGAUGAUUUUACCAACAGUUUUGGGUAGUAUAUUGAAAAUUCUAUCACUCAACUAUCGGUUGACAGUUUAUACUAACCAACAAGAGAAAGCCAAUGUCCAAAAGAAACCUAGCUAAAGUUGGCUGUCAAUAAAAAGGGAGACAUUAACAAAGGAAACUACUUAUGCGACAAACCAUAAGUAAUGAAAACUAAUCUCAAUAAGAAAACAACAACAAUGUUUCCACAAAACAACAAAUCUAAUUUUCCUUUUGUUUUAUAGUGAUAGGCAAGAUGAGAGGAUUCUGGUUUACGCUACAAUAAAAACAAUAAUUCCUUCAAUAUCUAGGCCUGUGAUUACGGUAGGCUAUCGAAGGACCCAAUAAUAGUCCAUAAUUAUCCUCUGCAUGUGUGUAAAUAAUUGUGUCCUCACACUAUAAGCUUUUGGAUUAUCUGUGAUCUAAUGAAAGAGAAAGAAAUGAAUCCUCUGGAUCUAGACGUCUGAUCUCCUUGAGAAGAUCAUCGAAGAAUCCUUGAAAAGAUCAUCCAUUCUUUGUCUUCUUCUUGUAAUGUUUUGUCUCGAUCUUCUCAUUUUACUUUAAUUCAACAUAAAGAAAAGUUAUUAAAAACUCCACGUGGAGCCUCAAAUCCUUCAAUUAGAAAUAUACAAGUAUCAUUAGUACAAAAAGGAAUCAUUAAUUCUAAUCCUCUACUUUUCUUCUGAGUUACAUAGUGAAAGGAUUUCUUGCAAGUAGAUGACAAAAAUCUUACACUGCUAAAAUAGCAACGCAAAAACAGGAAAAUACAAAACCUAAUAACACAUAAGGUAAAAGGACAAAGCGGAAAAAUUAAUUAAAUCAACACCAUUAAGAGAUUAGCGGAGCUAAACAGAAAGAGACCUCAUGAUCACAAUCGACGAGCUGCUGCUCGCUGAGGCUCUUCAGCUUUCCGGUGGCCAGAAAGUUUGCCCCUUCCAACGCCCCCGAUGCACUGAACGACCAGCACGACCCGCACGAACCCUAAACACAUAACGAAUCACAAGUCACAACAGUUGAAUGAUUUUUUGUCCCACCAAAAAUAGCGAGAAAGAUAUAAUUUCAUAACCAGAAAAGUUCAGAUACUCAAUUAAAAUCAAAAGAUAGCCCUAAAAACUGCACUUAAUCACUCUCUAAAUCAAAGCGCCAAAUUUUACAACCACAUGGCUAUAGUUUCAAAACCCCAUUAGGAUUUACCGUUGAAAUACCAUCAAAUUGAGCACGUAACUAUCAUCAUUUUACUCAUUAAACCAUUAGAUCUUACACAAAUUAGUGAGAUUAAGCAAAAUUUUAAACAUAUUAAAUACCAUUUUAAACAGGAAAUCACAUACUCAAUUUGACAAAAAUAGCUACAUAAAGUUAAAACUAGAAUAGAUCUGCAUCGCCGGAGUUCGUAAAAUUUGCGGUUUUAUCUUCGAUUUCUCUCUAUUUUCUUCUGACGAGUUACACGAUUAUAAUUAGAUGCAUUUAUAUCAUAAUUAGGGACUAAAAUUAUACUUUAGAUUAUCAUGCGUCGCACGCGAACUACUACUACUACAAAUAUGCAUAUAUAACAUAAAAAGCACAAAUCGAGAGGAUUUGGACCUGAUUCUUGACCCCGGUGACGGCGCCUUGAUCCCUCCAAUCGAAAUCGGAGGGGAGAUCGUUCGUGGGGAGGAUCGGGGCCUCGUGCGAGGAGCCGAAGAUGCUGCCGCCGACGCCGCCCUUCUUCCGGCGGAGGCCGAGGAAGGCGCGGCGGAACUCGGCGGGGGUGAGGUCGGAGAACUGGGUGACGCCGUGGACGGCGCCGGGGUCGAGCCGCUGGUGGCGGCGCGCGCGGCGGAGGUUCGCCGCGAACACCGAGCGCCGGUGCGCGCGCUCCUCCGCGCUCGCGUACGAUCUCCCGAACCGCCGCUCGAAGCUCACGAAGUGCGCCUCCACCGCCGCCGCCCCGAGCCCUAGAUGGCCGCCGCCGCCGACGCCUCCCUCCUCCUUCGCGUCCGGCACCACCUGGAGGAUCAGCGGGUCCUCCGCCUCCGCCUCCACCACCGCCGCCGCCGCCGCGGCGGAGGAGACGACGAGGAUCGAGAGGAAGAGGAGGAGGGGGCGAAGGAGAGGAGCCAUGGAUGAGGGUUUGGGGAUCGUGUAGCUUCUCCGACACGCAUUAUAUAGAGAAAGAUGUUGACGAGGUAAGGAGAUGUGGGUACAAAAUAACUUCCCCAAUAAGAUUAAAAAAACGCAAUUCCAAAUUUACCCCUCCACAACUUCAAAAUAUCAUCAAUGCCCCUCCGAAAUCUAAAAUUACCACUAUUACUCCUCUAAUAAAUAUCCAAAAUUAUCACCAGUAUCUCUCCAAACAUGCAGGCUAAAUUACAGAAAGCUCCCCUGUCGAAACCUAAUUUUUCACUUUCUCCUCCUAUCAUUUUAAAACCUACACUUUACAUUCUUAUAAAAUAAAAAAUAUUCGCUUUACUCUCUACUGUUAGUGAUCCAUUAAGUUUCCGUUUAUAAAAUAUUAUUAUAUAUUUUUUUAUGCCAAAAUUGCCCUCAGCCUUCACAGUUUAUAUGCCGUAACCCCUGUGACCAUUUUUCAUUUUACAAAGAGGUAAAGUGUAGAUUUUUAAAUGAUAAGGAGGAAAGUAAAAAAAUCGGGUUUUUGACCGAAAGAUUUUAUUUAAUUUAGCCAAUAAAACUAUUAUUUUUAGAAUAUCACCAAUGGCCCUCCGAAAUAUAAAAUAUUACCAAUACCCCUCUAAAUAUCUAAACUUAUCACUAAUACUCCUCUAAAUAUAUAAAACUAUUAUCAAUAUAUAUUUUUUUAGACCCCAAAUCCUGUUUGGUUCUCUAAAAAAUAUUCCAGAUAACAAUUUUUUAGCUGAAAAACUAUUUCCAUUUAUUUGGCUGUUAGAAAAAACUACUUUUCUGAAAAAAAAUAUUUUAUUCAAUUUCAUAGAAAACUAAAAUAUCACUAAUGGCCCUAUGAAAUUAAAAUAUUACUAAUACCCCUCUAAAUAUCUAAACUUAUCACUAAUACUCAUCUAAAUAUAUAAAAUUAUUACCAAUAUAUUUUUUUAGACCCCAAAUUCUAUUUGGUUUUCCCAAAAAUAUUCUAGAUAACGGUUUUCUAGCUGGACAAUUAUUUUUACCUAUCUAAUUUUUAGAAAAAAGAACUACUUUUUGAAAAAAAAAAUGUUAUUGAAUUUUAUAGAAAACUAAUAUUUUUUAUAUUUUAAAUUUUUUAUUUGAAAAAAAUGGUGAAAAGGAAAAUCUUUUCUGAAAAAUAGUUUUUCAAAAUAAUAACAUUUCCACAGCUUUUUGAAAAAUAACUAAUCUCCUCAAGUUAAUAAUAUUUCUCAAUUUAGAAAAAUAUUUGUAAAGUACACACCCUUCUAGAAAGGUUAUUAAGAAAAUUUAAUUCCUAGAGAAAUUAUAUGUAGAGUUCUUUACUAUUGACCAUUUAAGAAUAUGCUUGCGAAUAAUCUUUUUGGUAAAAUGGAUAGAAUUUGUUUGAACUACAUACCAAUUUGAUUCAACCAUUCAAUCUUUUAAUAUUUUAAUUUUAGUAUUUAAUUUUUUAGUUUAUUUGAUCUAAGAAAUUUGAUGGAUAUAUUUACGCUAAUUGCUUCAUUUAUAUAAAUUAUAUAAAAUAUUUAUAAACGAUAAAUUCAAUUUUAAAAAUAAAAAGUUAAUAAUUGACUCGAGUUUAAUAAAUUAAAAAGAUUAGACAAUAAAAUUAAAAAUUUUAAAAAUUAGUUCGCCGAUAAAAUUAGUAAAUUUUAUAAUUUUUUUAUUUUUUUAAGUAAAAAUAUAUAAAAAUAUGUCAGUUGUGUAUUGUUUCGAAAGCAUUUGCAUACAUCGCCUAAUUUGACUAAUAAAAGAGUAUUAAUUAUAAGAUAAUAUUUAUAAUUUACGAAAAUAAAAUUAAAUUAUUAAAUUUUAAAUUUUAUAAAUUAUUAUAGAAUUUGUUUGCAAGCACAAGUAGCCAUGCUAUUUAUUUAUUAUUUUUAUUUAAGUGCCCUCUCUUAAUUUUUUUGAAUUUUAUGGUUAAAGCUAUUUUUAACCACUUUUUGGGCUAAUAAUAACGGUAUUUGAUGGAGGGCAGUUUCGUAAUUUUACACACAAGAUAGAGAAAAUUUCAUGGGUUCGCAAUAAUUUGGGGACAUUAUGGAGCCGCGUAGGGGACUAGUUUUGGGCCAAUCAUAUCGGUGCCGUAUAAGUGUACCCCUCUGCAAAAAGUCGCGUGUUGAUUAGUGCCAUUUGAGCCGUUCGAUGCGCGACACGUGUCCGUCCGCGAACCAAAUAAUAUCUUCGAGAGCGUUUGGUGAAUCGAGCCCCUGGAUGGGCCCCACGUGUCCCUUUGAUGCUUUUUUAAAAAUUGGUCCACUUUGUCCGAGUAUCUUAACUCGGCAUUAAAUGGACCCGGUGUACGAACUUCGAGAAUUUCCCUGAACCGGGUGCAUCAGUACAUUCCAUGCACCAAAUUUUAUACAAUUUUUUUUAGGAUGAUUUAAUUUGUUUUUCUAUCUAUCUUUUUAACUAAUUUUAUUUGAAUCAUUCAGUGAAAAUGUUUUAUAUUAGUUAUUUACUUCCAGUAAUAUUUUAUUUUAGUGCACCUAGUUCAUCUGGAAGUUGGUAAACCAUAUAUCUAUGGACCUUCUAUUCAUCUCAAUUUUUGGAUUCUAUAGUCUAAUUUAUAAAUAAAUAAAUAGAAAUAAAGAAAUAAAUGCUAGUAUAUGAUUGGGCAGAUGCACUGGGUGCAACCAACAUGUUACACUCCAAUUAUAAAUGGUAUAAAUAAAAAUAAACUAGGAAUGUAAAUCGAGCUCCCGUCCAGAUACGCUCCGAAUAGAACGAUAUAUGAGGACCAAUAAUAAUAAUAACAAUAAUAAUAAUAAUAAUAAUGAUUCAUUCUAAAUUCAUCUUAACAUGCUAAAAAAUAAGUUGGAUCGGACCUGAUCCAUUACUUAAAUAUCUGUCAAAAGUUCGCUUCUGUCUUGAUCUGUCAAAAUAGAGUGGUAAAUAAAUACAAGCGAAAAAAACAAAAUAAAAAUCAAUCACAAUUUUGAAUUCGCUCCGACCCGUGAAGAAAAUGGGACGGGACGCGGGAGACCCGACAAAAAUUUUAUGAAGAUUGGCCCCAGAGUGAUUACUUUGCCCAUCAAAACUGGGCACCCACUGCUCUCCCAAGUUGGGAGUGAGAAAUUGUUGGGUGCAGUGUACCAUAUACUUAUAAAACUUUUUUUAUUAUUACUUUUAGGGUUUAAAAUUUAGAUAUUAGGUUUUAGGAUUUGGGUUUGAGAUUUUAGGAUUUAGGGUUCAGGUUUCAUCAUUCAGGUAUUUAGAGUAGGGAUAUCUAUGGGUUGGAUUCCGAGCAGAAUUUUUUAAAAAUCCGAACCCGACUAUGAAACUCGAAAACCUGGACCUGAGUCUGAAUCCGACGGAUUUCAAAAAUUCAUAUCCAAAUCUGAACACAACCAAAAAUCCGAAAACCCGAACAGAAAACAAUUAUUUCUUUCCUCUCUUUACAAUGUUUCAAAACAUAUUACAAUAAACCUGUCUAAAUUUUUAAAAUAUAAAUUCAAAUGUAACAUCAAAUAUUUAUUAUAUAAUGUAAAAUUAAUUCCAAAUUCGUUGGAUUUUCAUUUUUUAUAUUCAUAUUCGAAACUACAUUCAUUUAGUAUAAAAAAAAAUUCGCUCCGUUCGAAUUCGGAUUAAAUUUUGGAUAUCCGUACCCAUUGACAUCUCUAGUUUAGAGUGCAGAGUUUUAUCUUAUUGUAUACGUAGAAUCUUAAUCUAUACGUAGAAUCUUAACUCUGAAACUCAAAACUUUAAAUCCUAAACCCUAAACACAGAUCCUAAGAAAAUAAAAUUUUAAAAAAAAUUUACAAGUACAUGGUACACCCGGUGCAAUAAGCAAUGAAUCACCAUCUAUCAACUUCAACAGUUAAAAAUUUCUAAUGUCAAAUUUGAAAGUUCGAGGACGAAAUUAAUUAAAGAGUGGUUUAAAGGUCAAGGAUUAUUGGUGCAAUUAGCCCAUUCUGAAAUUAAUGCAUUUCCUAUUCCUUAAACUGAAGCACCCAUAAUUUACACCAACAAUUACAAUAUUGGUACUACUAGUACUUAAGGAGUAAUAUCCCACAUGCAUCUGAACUACUAUGUAGAUGCAUUUAUGAAAGCAGCUUCAUAUAUAUAUAAUAUUUUAUAUAAAAAAACAUUCAAAUACCACCUCUCCCUUUAGGGUGCGUUUGGUCUGUAAUCCUGUCAGGAUAACUAUAUUUGAUUAAUCCGUUAUGUAAUCUAAUCGUUAAUGUAAGAUUACAAAUCGAGCAGAAUUACAUCGAAAAUAUUAACGGGAGGGGGGUCGUGUAUCUUGCAUUACUGAAACCCGUUAAUACUACAUAUUAUGUGACAAUUUUACCCUCCAACAACCCCAAAUCUAAUUAACAGCAUUAUUUUCAUCUCUCUCUCGCCUUCCCCCCGGCCCUCUCUCUCGCACGCCGCUCUCUCUCUCUCUCUCUCUCUCGCACGAACACCUAUCAUCUUCUAUUGCGUCGUCCUCCCAAUUAAUCAUCACGAUCUCCUUCCAUCCAUUCGUCAUUUCCACAAAAAAUAAUAUUCAAAUGACCACAACAAGGGCAAUUUUGAAAAAAACUAUACUUUUAUGUCAGGAUUACUAAAUUUUAUAAACUGAACCAAACAUAUUAAUCCUAUAAACACUGUAAUCUAGUAUUACAUUACUGUAUUAAACCAAACGCUCUAAUGCAGCAUUAGUAGUAACCUCACGCCGAAAUCCAAGAUACCUGGAUAUGUCGAGAUACUUUGUAAUAUUACAUAACUCGAACCAAACGGGCCCUUAGUAAUAUGUAGUUUAAAGUGUAUCACUUUUGUACCCUAUGAUUUUAUUUUUCUCUUUAUGUUAUCCUCUUCACUAAUUUUUUUCGUUAAAUUAGUAACAAAGUUAAAACUAAAAGUUACUAAAGUGAAUAUUCAAAAAACUAUAGAUAGAGUAUCUGAAAUUUUUUGUAUAUGAUUUAAGAAAAAAUUAACGAAAGGACUGACGAAAAGAGAAAAAUAAAAUCACUUGGUACUACAUUGAUACACUUUAAAUCACAUGGUACUAAAAUAAGAAAGUGCAAAACCACAUGAAUGGUAAUUGAAGUUUACCCUAAAAUAUAUAUAUGUAUCAACAUUAAAGAAAAGAUGCAAUAUCGAAAGCAUAAAGGAUCCGAUGCAUCUGAUUUUUGACCCUUGAAUAAAAAAUUGAACGGUUGAAAUAAUUGCAGUCACCCCUAGAAUUGAGUAGUAACUCUAGGGUUGAGUGGUUCCCACAAAGUAAUAGUAUUAAUCCAAAUGUUAAAUGAUUAAAGAGACUAAUCUACGGGCCAAAAAGUCAGAAGUAUCGAAUCCUCUAUACUUCCUAUAGUAUAGUAGCUCCACUGAUACAUGCAUACAUAUAUAUAUGUAUAUGUAUGUGUACAUAUGGAGUGCAUCUGGUAUGCUUCUAGAAGCACGGAGCGCUCCGUUCUUACAAGUUAUUUUCGAUGUUGGGACUUUCGAAUCGACGAUCAGCUCCGUUAGACUUGAUCUAGAGUACUUUAAGUAUCUAGAAAAUAAAUUUUACGAUUUUUUGAUAUCAUUUGACUAGUGAUCGAAGUGGCUCAAAAUCAACGGCUGAAAAUAAAAAUCUUACAAAAUAUGAUGAUAUGACAUUAAAAUUUUAGAUCAAAAAUAUUGAUCUUGUUUUAUAUAGUAUAAAAAAUUUUCUAUCAAAAUUUCAUAUGAUUUGGAUAUUUCUACACUGUUAAACUUGCCAACGGCUCACCACGGCCAUUAAAAUUAUUGAUUUUGAGCCCCUUCAAUCACUAGGCAAAUGAUAUCGAAAAAAUCACAAAAUUUAUUUCUUAGGUACUUCAAAUAUUCUAGAUCAAGUUUAGCGGAGCCGAUCGUCGAUUCGAAAGUCCCAACAUCGAAAACGACUUAGAAGCACGAAAGGCUCCGUGCUUCCAGAAGCAUACCAGCUCACUCUGUAUAUAUAUGUAUAUGUAUAUGUAUAUAUAUGUAUUGUGUGUGUGUGUGUGUAUAUAUAUAUAUAUAUAUAUAUAUAUAUAUAUAUAUCCAGAAGAACCAGAACUUUGAUCCAUUUACAACUCACCACCUGACAUUUUUUAAAAAUUUGAAAGUAUUAUCUGAACAAUCAAAUCAAUUUAUCGAAAUCGAUUCCUCGGUUCAAACUUCCCCUUUAAUUUGCCUUCAACACAAUUAAUUUCAAGAAGGGAUAUAUAAGCAAGGCGAAACUUCAAGCUGUAGGUUAUAAUUCUUUUGUCUAAUUUAGAAAAAGUAUGACGAAAACUCGUAGAAGGUGAUUAAUUGCAACAUGCAGAUUGUUGAGGUGAUACAUUUGAACUUAAAAAACUUUGGGUGGCAAAUUACAGAUGGGCCAAAGUUGGAGUGGUUCGGAAAGUUUUUUCUGAAACCAAGCAGAGUAUACCCGCUUAAAUCAGGAGCUGAAACUCUUAGAAGAGAAAAAGAAACCAUGACAAAGGUUAAUAUUUUGCAGUUACACUACUAUAUUAUGAUGAUAAGAAACAACAAUUCUUAAGAUAAAAGCAUAGAAAAGGGUGCAUUAGUCUAAUUGUGUCGAAAAAGGGGAAAAAAAAGCAUUCCGUUUAUAAAGAUAUGGGACUAUUAGAGCAUGAGCAAAAAGAUCAUACGGUGUAACGGUUCUUAGCAACUUUAUCGUGUUUCUUCGCAUCAUCCUGCGACAAAAGAGUCAAUAGUGAGGAACCCACAAACUUAUUCUGACCAAACAUUACGCCCAAAAAAAAGAAAGACGAGAAGCUAAAGGCACUUACGUGAACUAUGAAACCGAUCGUGUCUUUGUAAUCUAGAAGCUCCUUCCAUUGCCUCCCAAUGCUUACCUGAUAUGGAGAAAAUGAAGUUGUUUUGAUAAAUGAAAUAAAAUGGAAAGCCACAUGACCUUUAUUAUGUAACGAAAGUAUGGCAAACAAGCAGUGAAAACUCGACGCAAAUGUAAGAAAGAUAAACCUAAUGGGUAGUCGACUACAAAUUAAGUCAAAACUCAUGGAACUUCACAUCAAUUUUUAUUUGUAAGAAAUGACAAUUCCCAUAUAAUAAAAAUUAUUAACUGUCAUUAACCAUCAGAAUAGACAUGAUGAUUAUCCCAGGAUAUCAGAAGUACGUAAAUAUCAUUUGUACAUAUCAGAUUGGUUAUAAGCAAUGAAAAAUAUGAAGACCGAUUUAUUGAGAGAAAACCUUAAAAAAAGAUAUGUCAUGAAAGAGAAAAUGCAUUAAAUUAAACUAAUGAAAACAUUCUUUACAAAGAAUAAAUAUUUAUAUACCAGUUCAAGCAGGUAAAUCUGGAGAUGAGAUAACUACCAAGUGUUCAAGAGAGGAUCUCAGCACGAAAUAUUUUUGAGGGAGUUAAUUAAGGAUUAACUGAUCAAUAAGAAAAAAAAUGUGUGACAUAGCAUCAUUACUCUUAAUCUGUCAAUACUUGCAGAGAAAAACUUUACCUGUGGUAGCAUUGAGUGAAGAUUAGCAUGGAAAUUGUUACCACUCUACUUUUUCAGGGAUCUACCGUGCAUUUUACUUAUUUGAAAACCUAAUUUGGCAAAGUUGGCUGAAGUUAUUCAUAAUAAAGUAACUAUUAGUUAGCUACAUGUGUCAUUUUAGUUAUCUCAAAACAGUCAAUAACUACCUGAAAUCAGAAAUUAGUGACAGAAAUGCAAUACAUUAAACUGAGUUAACAAGUUUGUACAACACUUUGUCAAUUUUCUAAUGUAAUGUAGUAUUGAUGCUGUUCGUACCUGAGCAGUUUCAUUAGCAGCAUUUUUUGUCCACACAGCUAUUCGUUCUUGCUUCCCACGUAUACUAACCACUGCUCCACAAAUUUCAUCACCAUAGUCGAAUUGCUCACCAAUCAUCGCCAAUAACUGACAAAAUAUUUCAAAGACGUCAAGAACAAUCAAUACAUGAUUUUGAAUACUAACGAGAUUUUUUUUGUUUUAAGGCAAAAUACAUACUGUAUGCAACCACAAUGUGUCUGAUUUCCCUCUAGUACAGCUAAUUGUCCACUUUCCUCCAUUAGCACAGAUCGGGUCUUCCCACUUAGGCUCAAUCUUGUGUUUGAAGCAAUGGAAGUCAGCACCCACAACCAACUUGCUCGGGUGGUUAAUAUUGUUGUAGAGGCUAAUGACCAUUUGUGACACAAUACAUACAUUUGACACAAUACAUACAAUUAGUAAAAGGCAAGGAUUUAAGUGCCCAUCGACACGGGCCGUAUCGUGCCAACAAGAUAUCGGUACGAUACAACCCCCGUACCGAUGGCACAGCUCAAAAUCUUCUAAUUCUUUAAAUUAGUAAGUAAUUUUCUCAAGAAAAUUCAAAAGAUUUGAUAAAAAUACAAAAUACACAGUUAGACUAUUUUGUUGUUAAAGAAAAUAAAUAUUUCAUGCUAUUAUGUGUCGGCACACAUGAAAUUUUUGUAAUUGACACGCAUCGACACGGUUUUCUACACACCAUGUCGUACCAUGCCGGCAAGUUUUCGGCAUGACCCCGUGCCACGACACUUAAAUCUUUGGUAAAAGGUAAUAGUUGAACGAGGGAAAAGAACAGUUGAUAGAUUAUAAUUCUUCGAAAAAUAUUUAAAAGGAAAUGAAUAUCAAUAUAGCCAAAUCACAUAAUUAACCAACAUUUCAUCUCUGAUGUACCCAGCAACUGAUUUUGAACAUUCAGCACUCCCUUGUAUAAUGUUCACAAUAUAUCACCAAUAAAUCACUGUUGCAGAGGGUCGUACCUCUCCAACACAAGCGCAUGGAUUUCACAGAUACAAGAAGUAAUUAGUCUAUGAUGCUAGUAUAUGAAAAAUCAUUUGAUCCUUGUAGAUUGGACAGGGAGAUCAACCAAAAUACAUUAUUGAUGUAUGACUACCCAAAUUGGACAAUUAGACUAAAGCGGCGUGCACGAAUUACCUUAAGAUGGUAUAUCAUUUGAUCUAAUAUCUAGAACCUACUUAUAUCCAUUUUCUAACCUUUGUACUUAUAAUUAACAUUUUCUAUUAGUGAUAUUUCGGAAGACUUUGAAGUCUUAGAAUUGUUAACAUAACAUUCAAACAAGGAAAAACAAGGUUAUAAUCUACUUAUGGAAGUGAAAAGCGUCAGCAAAUUUAUUGAGCUAUAGUUUGAUCAAAUAUCUAAUUCUGAGACACUUAGAAGAACAAAAGACAGUUAGGGGCAUAAUUAGUAAAAUAAGACUACUAGAAGAGUAAGGAAACUUUGUUUUCAAGCGGCUAAGUUUGUCAAUAUGGGAGACACACAAAACAAAUCAAUAACCUUAUUGAAGCAGUUACUCCAAUAGCAAAAUAACACAUUACGUGUGAUGUAUAUAUCGAAUAUCGAUACCCCUAAACCCAAUGAGGCGAUUUAUCUUAAUCCAAAAAAAUGAUGUGAAGGCCAAAUAUGAUAUCGAAUUCUAGAAUUCGAACAUAUUCCUCAUCUCCCAAAUAUACAAAUUUUCUGAGUAAAUCAAGCAAAUAUACGGAACAAGAUAUUCAUGCAUCCAAUUACGGCCUACAAGCUACCAAUAUGACAAUAUCUCGAACACUCACACAUAAUGCUUACAACAAAUGAUUUAAGUGCCCAUCGGUAUGGGCCAUAUUUACCGUGCCGUAUCGUGUCAACAAGAUAUUGGCACAAUAUGGCCCCUGUGCCGACAAACCCUCCAUUCUUUAAAUUAGUAAGUAAUUUUCUCAAUAAAGUUUAAAAGAUUUGAUAAAAAUACAUAAUAAACAGUUAUAAUAUUUUGUUCUUAAAGAAAAUAAAUAUUUCAUACUAUUAUGUGUCAGCACAUAUGAACUUUUUGUGACCAGCACGGCACGGCACGCCCCGUACCGGCAAGUUUCCAGCACAACCCAGUGCCACGCACUUAAAUCCUUGCUACAACAGUGCAAAGAUUGAAAAUUUAGACGAGAUUGGAAGAAAUUUACGAACUCCAGCAGUCUUCGACACCAGCAGUCUUUGACAGCGGAUUAGUUAUCACUGGAUAAUUUAUUCUGAAAAAUCUACGAGGGCUUACCAUCGAUAGCUCAAACACUUGCUUGUACGAGGAUUUUAGUAGCGGUAUCUCAAACAAUCGCAUAUAAUACUAAAAUUUAGACGAGAUUAGAAGAGAUUUACCAUUCUGAAAACCUUAGGAGGAUCGGAUUUACAAUCGAUAGCAUGAACACUUGCUCAUAAGGUUUAGAACAUAGAACACUUGCUCAUAAGGUUUAGAACAUAGCAGAGAGAAAGGGAUGUGAAUUGUGUUACCUCCAGAAGUCCUCGACGGUGGCGAAGGUGUGGAUGGGGCGCAGGGAGCUGCCCCACGCGGCCUGCUUCGACUUCCCCGAGGGGUUGUCGAACCAGAACGUCCACGCGUGCUCCAGCGGGUGCCCCUGCGACGGAGCCCCCAUCAUCCCCAUCCCAGCACCUCCUCCGUCCAUGGCGUCGCUCUCGAUCUCGCCCUCCUCCAUCUCCUCCUCCUCCUCCUCCUCCUCUUCCUCCUCCUCCUCCUCCGGCCCCCGCGGCGGCGGCGGCGCUCCGCUUUCUCUCUCUCUCAGCCUCUCCUCCGGCGCCACCCCCGCCGCCGCUGCCGCCGCCGUCGUCGUCGUCUCCGUCUCCUCCGCCAUGAGGGCUCCUCGUUAAAGCUAGGGUUCGGGCUAGCGCUCUCUCUCCGUAGCGAUGGGUGGAGUGGAGGGGAGGUGAUUUUGGAGCGCGCACCGCAACAAGGGUUUGGGCAUUAGAAACGUAGAAGGUUCGGGAGCUUAGUUUUUUUUUUUUUUUCUUUUUUUUUUUUUCUUUUUUAGAAAAAAAAAGAAAAAAAAAAGAUGGUAAAUAAAUCAUUAAAAAAUUAUAUAUCGAUAGCAUCAAGCGCUUAGUACUACCGAAUUUUUUGCCAUUAAAUUUAUCCCUUCUAUCAUUUCUAACUGUUACACCGUAUUAUUCAACUAACCACUCAUUCAACUCUAGAGGACCACUAUUAUUUUAAUUGCAUAUUUUUUCAUCCGAGUACUGAAAACCUAAUAGCACCAAUGAUUUGGUACUAUUAAUACUAUUAUCACGCCCCGAGACCGCUACCACUUUGGUCCGGUUCGAGCGCGUCGAACAGACGCCGGACGGACAGCACCUCCCCUGCCCGUCCAAGGCUAAGCAUCAAGAUUGUGUACAACAAGUUUCCAAAAAAAACAAUUUGAAUAUAUACACAAUCAACAACAACAGUGAGAGCACAACCAGUGCUAAACAUCACAAGAGCAAGCAUCACAAGUAUAUACAAAUGAACAAAAGAGAGAUACUAACUAUUACAUCCAUUUAACUCUUUAAUAUAUUUGAUUAACUUUACAUUCUCUCAAAACAUAACCAUAAAGUUUACAAUUCUCCAAAAUACCUCACCACCUAUGCAUCAUCCACACUCAUGUACAUAGGUAGCUCUAAUACAAAAGGAGGUCUCUACCAAACCACUAGGGCGCUAUGCCCUUACCACGAUUCUCGCCGGGGGUAUUCGAGCUCGACCCUGCAACAGAGUAGGGUGAGAACUAUUGUCCAUAGUUUUCAGUUGGUUCGGCUGCUGAUUCCGCCGAUCUCCCCACUAGGUCUAAGCAGGCAUAGAAAGACAGAUAGAUAGAUAGAUAUGUGUAUAUGAAAGCAACAACGAUAAAGUAGAAAUACAAGUAUCCUACUAUACCUCAAUCUGAUGUAAUGAAUGCAUGCACUACAUAGUAAACGACUAGCUAUCAUACUACUAUGUUCAAUAAUGAAGCUAUUCAUUAGAUCACCCAAUCACUCGGCUAGCUCAAAGGCUCGCCUUCAAUCUCACGCCUCAAUCCCAUAAGUGAGGAGACCCAAGCCGCUCGACUCACCCGGGACCGCCUGCGGACAGCUAGCUACUGCCCUAUUGUGUGACCAAACCUUCGGAGUGCACAGCUUGUGUGGAGAGAUCAUGACAAGCAUAUAACAGGCUACGCGAGCACGAUCCAAUCCUCGUCAACUGAAGAUACCCUACCAGCUAGGGUUGUCAUCAUCAUGGAAUCAAUGUAUUCCUAUACUCAGCAUCCUAGUGUCUCAACUACACUAAGGUUCUCAUAUGCCACUCGUUCUUAUGUUUACAUUUAACUAGAUGUCACUCGUUAUCAAUUAGGUAUUCCCAAUACACUAAUUUUCACAUCACUAGUUUUUCAUCUGCCUAGAGUCAAAUCCACAAUUUAUCAUCUCAUUAUAGGGUUCCAAGCCAUAUUGCACUAAUCUCAUGCCUCCUAGGUUCAAGUGCUAAGCCCAUUACACUAAUAUACCAAGUAGCAUGCAAGAAUGGAAAGCAACCAUCUAAGGACCCUAUAAUGCAAUGUCACAAUAUGUGAAUAUAGUCAAUAAUGAAGCUUAGACAUAGGGAGCAGUUCAACUGCUUCGGGAUGGCACCACCCACUUUUUGGCGAUGCUACGAAGUAGGGAAUCCAAUCUCACGAUCACACGUCGCCGCCUCGACCUCUCGAGCGGAAACGAAACCGAAACGCCCUCCGCUUGGCGAUAUCUCCGCGCCGAUUCGACGAAUCAUCGAACCAUCGUCGCCAACGCGCUUAGACAUCUAGCAAUUAGGUUUACAACCAACCAAAUGAGAUCAAACUCAUCGAUUUCUCAAAACCCUAAAUUGGAGCCCUAGGUUGCAACUAGUGCAAUCUACUCCAAUAAAACCCUAGAUACAUGCAAUUAGCACCUACUUAGCACCAUUAAGCUCCACCAAAAUCAUUUCUAGAGUAUUUAAACCCUACCCUAGAAAUCCACUAUUAGAAAGGUUAGAGCUUACCUCAAAAGCUUUGCCCUAAGCUUGAGAGGAAGUAGAUGGAAGUGAUGCUCUUACUCCUUGCUUCAAUCUCCACCAAGCCUCCUCUCCUUUUCUCCUUCCUUGAGAGAGAGAGCAAGAGCUCUAGAGAGAGAGAGGAGUGUUAUGUUGAGGAAAAAGAGAGAAUGAGGGAGAAGAGUGACUCCCAAACCUCUCUUAUAACGCAUAAUUAUCAAAACCUCUCUCAACUUUGCCUACAUCACCCAGCCCAACCUGGGCUAGUUUGGGCUACGGGGACCGAUCCCUCUAAGGGAGGACCGGUCCCCGAGAGCAGUUUCACCCACACGCUUACGAGGAACGGUCUCCUCCCAAAGGGACCGGUCCCCAAGAGCAUGAAAUAUGCAAUUAUGCAGAUUUUUGCAUAGUUGCUGCACUUUUUGCAUUUUCAUCGCAUUCGGACUUUCCGAAGCAUACCAAGUUAACGAUAAGUCAAUUCCAAAUGAAGCCCAACUCUCGGAUUUCGAGAAUUCACUUCCUUACAACUAUUCCAGCCAAGUUCCCUUUUAUAAGGAUUACAUAGAGAUUGGGGCAAUUGCUUAUAUACCCCUAAAAAGUUCUCAACUUUCUGAUUUACCCCUCUUAGAAGGCUAAUAUUGAAAAUACCCUUUCUACGUUCCAAUCUAUUUCUAAUAUACCCAUAGAGUUAAAAUCUGUUAAUUAAUUCUAUUAUCUUUGUAAAAUUACUAUUUUGCCCUUUCAAAUAUACCCUUUCACCAUCACUGACUUUCUUAUUUGCCCUUAAAGUCAGGGGCAUAAAAAGUACUUUGACUUUUGGUCCUUUUCAAUAUACCCCUCUACCGUCACCAACAUUUCAUAUUUGCCCUUAAGUUAAAGGCAAAAUUGGCAUUUUAAUUUUUUUUAACUGUGGUAGAUAUUUAACUCACUUUUAACUCAAGUUAACUUAACAGGAGAUAACUGCGGGGGUAUUUUGCAAUAACGGUGAAACAUAUGAGGGAUAUUUUAGAAAGAAAAAAAAGUAAGGACAAAUCGGAUAUUUUCAAACGUAUGAGAGGUAUAUAGGCAAUUAUCUCUAGAGAUUAAGGAGCAAUUUAGUUAGAUGUAAUUAAAUAUACAAUAUAAUUAAAAAUAUAUAUUAUUUAAAAUGCAGUAAUUAUAAUUAAAUGCACUUUAUUUGGUUGGAUGUAGUAAAAAAGAGUUGCAACUAUGCAUCUUAUUUUUUUUUUUUUAUCUUAGUGAAAAGUGUAUUUUUAAAAUUUUAUUAUUUUAUAUAUGUGAUAAUUAAAUUAACUCUUUUGUUGAAAAAAAGAAAUAUAUCUAAAAUGAAAAACUUUAAAUACUAUCCUUGCAAGUUUCACACUUUUUUACUUUAGUAUUCGAUGAUUUAAAGUGUAUCAAUUUAGUACCCAAUAGUUUCGCACUUUCUCACUUUAGUAGCCCGUAGACUCGCGGGAUUUUCGUAGUCUUUUGAAGAUCUAUAAAAAAUCAACCAAAUAACAGGAAAAGUUUUUUCCAACGAAAAAAUAUUUUUGGGAGUCAUUUUAUGAGGAUCCAAACACACCCUAAACCUAAAAAAAAAGCCCCCCUGUGGUUUAAAAUGUAUCAAAUUUUUUUCCUGUGGUUUCGUUUUUAUCUUUUCGGUAGCUUUUUCAUUAAUAUUUCAUUAAAUUAUAUACAAAAAACUUCAGAUACCUAUCUAGAUUUAUCAAAUAUUCACUUUAGUACCAUUUAAUUUUAACUUUAUCAUUGAUUUAAGAAAAAAAAUAAUAAAAUUGAUGAGAAAAAGGGAAAAAAGAAACCACAUGGGGACAAAUUAAUACAUUUUAAACCACAGGGGGCAGAGUAACAAACUACGAAACCACGGGAGGUUUUUUGAAGUUUUCCCAAAAAAUAACUCAUCUCUAUCUCCCCCCCUCUCGCGGACACACACCGCGUUCCCAGCGCCCGCACGCUCUGAGCAACUUCGAACGCGCCGAGGUCGCCGAGGGAGCAGGGACGAGCAUGGCGACGAGCGCGCGCGGCGGCGGCGAGGGAGAGGCGGCGGCGGGGGGCGGCGGAGGAGGGGGAGCUGCGGCGGAGAUGGAGGUGGAGGCGUACCGGCGCCUCUUCCCCGUCGCCUACUUCGAGCGCCACCUCCGCGAGUCCGUGCGCCUCGACGCGCGCCCCCUCGCCUCCCCGCGCGACACCUCCGUAGCCCUCGGCCUCGUCGGCUCCGCCGACGGGUCCGCCCUCGUCAAGUUCGGCGACACUGUAAAAACCCUAGCUUUACUCGUCCCUUUCGUUCUUUUUGCUCCUUCUAACUUCACUCGAUCGAGUGUUUAGAAGCCCGUUAAUUUUACUUUGUUUCUUGUUCAUUGCAAUGCGACCUAUAUAGUUUGAUUUUGGUAAAGAGACUCACAAGUUAUCUAAUUUAUGUUUGCUGCUCUGAUUUUGAUUAGUUUCCGAGGUUAAUUUUGUGAAUCAAGCUUAACUUUUUGGCCCUGCUUAUGCUUCUUUUCGAAGUAGUAGCUGUUUCUAGUAGAGCGAUUUGGCAAAGAGACAAAUUUGGAUUUUCUGCUUUACCAGGAAGCACAUUUUAGGUUUUGAGCCUCGGAAGCAGAAGCUCCAAUUCAGACAUUUUUGAUUCUACUGUAGAAAGAUGUUGUUAGUACAUUAAUAUACCGCUUUUUUCAUAGAAGAACUAUUCAGAUAACAUUUCAUUUUAAACCUUCGCCUGGUGCGUGCACCAACUGAUCGAUAAAAUGCUUCUGAGAACACAGACUAUGGUGGCUGCUAUCAAACUUGAGGUGAUGACCCCUCCGGCAGAAUCUUCAGAUGAGGGUUCCGUUGGUUCGUGCUCAAUUCCGUACUUUUCCUGGCUUUUUGUUUGUUUUCCUUUAUUAACUCUUUUCUUUGACAGCCGUCGAGUUCUACAUGCCGCCAAUUUGUUCUCCGACCGUUAGGCCCGGGAGGUCGGCUGAGGUGGCGCCCGUCAUCUCUAAGCAGUUGUCGGACGUCAUUAUGAGGUGUGUCAUCUCGCUUUCUUUCAUCUUCAAUUUGAACUCCCAUAUAAAGAGAGCAAAAUAUUAAGUAUUUUUACCCUGUUUGCAUGUGUUUAACGUUAUCCUUUUGAAUAUUAAGGCCCCAUACGGGUAUGCAAAAUAAGCAAUUUAAAGUUCGAGCUAUUUGGAGAGUGCAUCGUUAUGUCCGUGUGACUAGUUACUUCAAGCUAGCGAUAUGAAGUAAAGAAGCAAUUUACACAUCAUAUAAAUACGCACAUUACUGACCAUGCCGAUGGCUUAUCCUAAUUUGUUGUCAAAACCUAGCUGUAGUUUUUGUGUUCUGCUAUCUUUGCUUGUUCUUGCGAAAACAAAACUUGGAAAUGCAUCUCUAUACUAGUAUAGUGUUAUUGUCCAUGUAAUAUCUUUUGUAGCCUAAGCAGUUGCUUUGCUGUUUUGCAAAAAAUGAUCUUUCUUUAUAGUUUCCUAUCACUAUUAUAGAACUAAUAAUUUCCAGUCAAUUGCAGUUCUGGGAUGAUAAACUUGAAGGACCUGUGCUUAAUAAAUGGAAAAGCCUCAUGGAUAGCCUACUUGGUAUGGCUUCUUUUCCUUCUGAAUCAAAUAUCUAUUCCAAAUUUAGUCUAGUAUUUCCUUAUAUUCAUGUGAAUGUUGUUGUGGGAUGCAUAGAAUUUGAACUUAUUUCUUUUGCUAUGAAAUUAGUAGAACAUCAAAAUUGGUAUCCUGCACUUCCUAACUUUUUGUCCUAUACGUUUAAUGUUUGUCGUUAACCCUGUAAGAUUGCUCAAGUAUCUUAGCCGAGGCCAAGGAUUUCCGUGCCAGUCGGCAUGUUCUGGCAUGGCUGACGUGUGCUGCCUGAGCCGGUUAGUUUGCGCCAAAUGUGCCAACAUAUAAAUGAGGUCUGUUCCAAGGUGUCUCGAUAUGCUGUGCUGUGCGAGUGGCAUACCGACAUGCCCCAUACCACUGGCACACCAACAUGCUCUGUGCCAGUGGCACAGCAAUACUUGUCCAGGGGGUCCAGGACAAAUUUAGGAAACUUCUCUUACCCUUGUUGCUGCAGUUAUGAUGCUGAGAAUCACCUUCCUAAUGUCUAUUUGUAAUGGAAGGACCCUUUAUUAUUUUCCUGCUAUUUCUUUUUUUUUUUUUUUUUUUUUUUUUUUUUUUUUCUGUUUUUGACUUUUUAUUUUUAUUUUGCAGGAUAUCUACUGUCUGAAUGCUGACGGCUCUCUCUUUGAUGCUGCGCUAGUUUCAACAGUCGCUGCAUUCACACACCGUAUGUUACUAUUCUUGUCAACUACAGUUUAUAAGAUUUUAUCUCCUCAUUGGGUCAAACUUAUGACAUAUUCUAAAAGCACGAUACCAUGGCUCUAGUAGGAUAUAUGAUUCCCGUGGAAUAAGUCUUGCUACAUUUUAUGACAAUCAAAAAUAGAAUGUAAAUGUGGUGUCAUGACAAUUGAAAGAGGUGCUAUGCAUAAUCAACUAUAUUUCCCAAAAAAAGAGUAUACUUGGAGAUUAUCUUGUACUUCCUCUAAAUUAUGAAAAUACAGUGACUUUUACUAGUCUUGGAGCUUUAUCUAAGAUUGCAAAGUAGAAGAAGGAACUAAGUGAAAAAUGCCUUCACUAUAUUUGAUUUUAAACUAGCAUUUUCGUCUUAUUUAGUUUAAAACAAUAUUUAAGGUAGGUGACAAAUAUGUGGUGCAAACAUGAUAUAAUACCCUUUAAAAUCCCUUCUCUUAGAAGGGUUAGUUGCAGACACUCAACAAGCUCGAUACACCUGUAUUUCCAUACUGAGCAGAGUCAGCUAUAUAAUUCACCACUCAGUCCUAUGUUUUGUAGUACUCUAACUCUCUUAAAUUACCAUUAGCUUUAACUAAAUAAUCAGCUUGAUCAUAAGUUGGAUAAAUUAAGAUGCUCAAUCAAUCUUAUUAGUUACUUGUGCUUUUUUAUGAUAGCUGAUUAAAUGCUACAUUGCUUGUUUGAUAUCGUAGCCAUGUAUUCAUGUAGUUUCUACCUCAUUUAAAUUGUGAUUUUUGUAUUUCUAUUGCCAAUGCAUUUGUUUUCAUGUCCAUAAAUCACUAUUGAUCUUGAUCAUUUAGUGAAUUUGAACUGGUUUCGACAGUGGAAAUCCCUCUAGUUUCGGUCAGUGACGAUGGAAGAGUAGUCACUGUGCCGGGGGAACUUGAAGGCAAAACUAAACUUCCGUUGGUCAACAAAGAUAAGAGGAAGCUCAUGCUCAACAAUGUCCCCUUUUCCCUCACAUGCGGACUCCAUAAGGAACAUAUCUUGGUAGAUCCCACUGCCGAAGAGGAAUCCAUAAUAGAGACCUUUGUUACUGUCGUGCUAGAUACUUUGGGUCGCGUCGUUUCUGUAUACAAACCGGGAGGUUCUGUUCUUGCCUACACAUCGAUUCUUAAGGUAAUUCCACCAUUUUCUUCUUAGAAUAGUAACUUGAGGCCUAUUUGGCUGAAACUGGAGCUUUUGUAUAAGUAUUAUUUCAGUAGAUUUUAUUCGAAGAAGCACUUAUAAUUGUUUUCGUUAAAUUAUCUUCAAAUUGAAGAUUUUACUUUUGGAGCCUAAAAACUCACUUUAGCUUACUACUCCAGCUAAAGCUCUAGAUUAUUUGUUAGCCGAAUGCCUAGUUUCUAUAUGCUUAUACUUUUUGUAUAAGAGAAGCUAUUGUGGAAGCCACGUUGAGCAUGUAGUUAAGUUGAAUCUAUCGAAGGUCAUUUAGUACAAUAAGAUAGUGCGAGUUCAUAGUGCUCAGAAUUCCUAUCCUCUCAUUGCUCUUUAACUGUCAUGAGAUACAUUACCAUUUCCAAUUUUCACUAAGUAAAUUAUGCGUACGCAUGUAGCUUAACUGUUAAUGGCAACCCCAGUUUAUCCUUAGUUCUAAUGUACUUGAAGGUUAAUGACUUUGAUUCGGUUUCAGGAGUGCAUCACUCUCGCUAAACGUAGGGCGCAGCAGCUAAGGAAUAUCUUGAAUGAAUCCGUUUCCGCCAUGGAAGUUGAUAAAUCUUCGUAAGUACUACUAAUGUUAAUCAAAUCACUUUUUACGUAUUCUUUUCUGAUUCUGAAAUGUGAAAAGGAAACAUCUGUUUUUGUGCGAUACAUUUAACCUGUUACAUCAAAUAGUUUAGGGAAAAUGUUAGAAAUAAUAGUGAUGUGAUGUGACAUGCUAACAACUUAUGAGAAUGGGAAUUGGCAUGUAUCUGAGUUUAUCUUCUUUGAUUGUGUUUAUAACUUGAAAGUUUAGUUAGAUAAUAUAACUCGAAAGUUGAUUCAUUAGCUGCGCUUGCAAGCGAUUCAAUGACGAAGAAAAUUUUUUGUAUGGGCAUGAUUUUUUUUUAAAAUUUUUUGCCUUAGUUAUUCUGAUUCGAUAAUUCGAUGUUGGAAGUAUAUUGAUUGUUUCUCAAGCAGGUACAAUUGGUAAAAUACAGUACAUGUUACACACAUUAUAUAAAGUCACAUUAUAGAGUUAAACUUAAAAAGUGUCGAUUUUUAUAUAAAUAUUCAUCACAUAUUUAUAUAGAUUGAUUCCUAAUUAUUAGUGUUUUUUUUGGGACAAAAUAGUAAAAUUCGUAAUGUGCUUAUAUUUAUGCUAUUUUGUCCAAAACAAAUUUCUCCCUUUUUUUUUUUUUUCUAUUUUUUGCAUCUCUCUUUUGCAAUUGUUAGCUCUUAGUCUUUUUAUGGAUUAAGUUUUGAUUUUUUUUUUUAAUUUUGGAAUUUGGAAAUAUAUAUUUAAUUUUAUAAGAAAUUUCUAACUUUAGCAAAAUCAAGAAUCAGAUAGUUCUCAAAAAUAUAGAAAUUCUUUUUUCUAAAUUAGAAUUUAUAAUAAAUAAUUGGAGAGAUAUUUUUAUUCUCUUUUUAUUGAACAGUACUAUAUUCACAUCUUUUGUUAGAGUUAAACUCCUGUACUUUUAGAAGCAUGAAAGUGUUUGUGUUUGUGAUUUUUUUACACGUUGGAUCGCUUCAAAAUUCGUACAACAUUGUUAAUAGUAGAUUCUGUUAAGCAUUUUUAAUUUGGUAUUUUAAAUUUUUUAAAUUUGAAAUUUCAAAUUUUAGAUUUUUAAAUUUAGAUUUAAUCUUAAAUUUUAAAUUUUAAAUUUAAAACCUUGAAUUUUAAAAUUUGAGAUUUAAAAAUUUAAAUUUAAAUUUUGAAUUUUUAAAACUUAAACGUUAUAUAUUUAAAUUUAAAAUUUAAAAUUUAAAAUUAAAAAAUUUAAAUCUUAAAUAGAAUAUAAGGGUCAAUUAUUAUUUUUUUUAUUAUAAACUAUCUACUAUUCUUUUUAUUUUAAUCUUAUCAAUCAAAAGUUAUUUUCUUAUUUUAGAAACAACUCAAUUUCUAUCCAUACGUAAAAUUAGUCUAUCUUAGGACUUAUUAUGAAUUUAUACCUAUUCCUGAAAUAGACAGUUUUUGUUUAUUCCGAGCAAAUGAGUUAUGAGUAUAGAUUUUUUUGUGCUCAUAAGUUUUUUGAUCGGUUAGAUCUAUUUCUUUGAUCAUUUUUAUCCGUUAAAAUUAUUUAUUUUAAUCGCAUAUUUUUUUUAUCAACGGUGUCGAAAAUUUAUGAGUUAUAAAAGUGUUUUAUUAUAUUAUAAAAGUACAGUAGUUCUAACUUAUAUAUAUAUUUAAAGAUGUUGGUGAAUUUAGAGAAAAUAUUUCAAUAGUCUAAGCCAUUUGAUGAGUUGACACUGUUGCAAUUAAGCAGGAGUGUCGAAGCCUUCAGUUAAGGAAUAAGAUUAAAGAUGAGAAGAGGUGUAUAAAGAAGAGGUUAUUAUUGAACUCGCCAUUUGAAUUAAAUCUGAAACCACAAAUAAUAUAAUAUUAUAAAUUAUAAAUUAUAUUAAUAUAAAAUAAUAAUAUAUAUAUUAUUUUUUAUGUGUCUAUGAUGAAUGGGGUGCAGCUAAUAAUUUAAUAUAGUAACAAAUGUGCAUAAAAUUAAUAAUACAAAAUUUUAUACAUUAAAAAAUUCUCAUGCCCCCUAAAAAUAGAGUGGACACGUACGUAACCAAAAAUGCAGAGCUGCAUCCUGAUGGACCCGGUCUACCGCAUCAUACAAUCGCAAACCAAUCAAAAUGCAAUACGUGGGACGUCUAAACGAGCCAAUCACUCACACGCGGUCCGGUGUAUACGCCACGGUGCACGUAAUAAUUUCUCUCAUGCAAUGCAACACUUUCUCUUGCGUUUUUAGCUUCUCCAAACACAAACCCUAAGAAAGGGGGAGAGCAUUGUGCUCGCAAAUGGAACACGAGGAGGAGAGAGUUCCGGCCACCGCCGCGGCCGACACGGCCGCUUCGAAGACGGUGCAGCGAGACGCGGGUGAUCACGACGCAGAGUGCGGAAUAAAAGGGCGAGAGGAAGCAGUCGCCGUGUUCGCGGUACAUCGCGACAGCAAACAGAAGAAGAAAGAAGCGGAAGCAAAAGUAGAAGCAGAACCAAAAGGGCUUCCGCACCAGCAAGUUGUCCAGCCCGAAGACGUCUACAAUGAGAAGCUGGAGCAGCUUUGAAUUCAUAAGGCUUUUUAUCGCUCUUCCUGCUUUCCUCGCUUUUUUAGGGUUUUAUAUAGGGGAAACUUCAAAAGCCCCUUCUGUCGUUUCGUAGUUUUUCAUUUUGCCUCCCUGUGGUUUAAAAUGUAUCAAAUUGCCCUCCUGUGAUUUCGUUUUUAUCUUUUUGGUAGCUUUUUCGUUAAUAUUUCAUUAAAUUAUAUACAAAAAAUUUUAGAUACCCAUCUAGAUUUAUCAAGUAUUUACUUUAGUACCCUUUAAUUUUAACUUUAUCAUUAAUUUAAGAAAAAAAAAUAAUGAAAUUGAUAAGAAAAAGAGAAAAAAGAAACCACAGGGGGGCAAAUUGAUACAUUUUAAACCAUAUGGAGGCAAAGUGAGAAAUUACGAAACCACAUGGGAAGUUUUUGAAGUUUUUUUUUUUUAUAUAUGUAUCAGUUUUUGAAGGCUUUUUACUGCUGGUCAUGUGUUCCUUUUUUUUUUUUCUUUUUUCUUUUUUUUUUUUUUCAGGUUACGAGAAUUUAAGAUGUCAGAGAAAAAUGUUCCAAAUACUUUUUAUUAUAUCUGGAUUCGAGACCUUUUAAUAGAUUUAAAACCUGAAAUUGAACUAAUCAGAGAAGCAUUUUAUUGUUUGUUUCUCCUACGGUGAUUUAAUUUUAUUAUAAUUUUAUAGCAUUGAAAGAGAAAAAUUUAAGUGAAAAUAUGUACUUGUAGACGCCGCAAUUUCAAAUCAGGCUCCAUAAUAAAAUUUGAGUUGCGAUAAUUACUUUUUUAUAUAGUUUAAAACAAAUAUUCUAAUAAUUUGUUAUUAUUACUACUAUUUUUAAUUUGUUUUUGAAAAUGGGCUGAGCAUUACUUCCUUAUUGCAUAUAUAUAUAUAGAGAGAGAGAGAGAGAGAGUUAUACUACUACACUAUCGAUAGGACCAAACGCUAAAUAUUAUUGAGUUUUUGGCCGUUGGAUAAAAGGAUGUAUCGUUAGGAUAAUAGUGAUCUAUUUUCUCAAAAAAAAAAAAGAAUAAUAGUGAUCUUCGAUUAGAAUGAUAUGACAGUCGGACUAUAUACAGGCUCCUAUAAUAUCUAUAGUAUCGAAACUUUGGUACUAUAUUCUUGUUUUCGAUUUUAGGAUAUUCAAAUUAACGAUCCACAUAGUUAAAAUUGAUUUAGCAUAUUUAAAAUUUUUAGAAAUAAAAUUUUAUAUAUUUUCGAUAUAGUUUAACUAUGAUCAAAUUAUUUUAAAAUUAUCAAGUUUCAACUACUAUUAUGGCGAGUUUGUAAUUUAACGGUGUAAAAGAAUAUAAAAUUUAUUCAAAUUUUAAUAAAAAAUAUUUUAAACUGCCUAGAUCAAGUUCAACAUCUUUGAUCUUGAAUUCAAAAGUCCUAUUUUCAAAUUUUAAAAAUUAUUCAUUUUUUACCGUUUAUUUUGACAUAUAUAAUUACUUACUAAGUAAAAGAUAUCGAAUAAAAUUAAAAUUUUAUUCCUAGGCUUAUCAAAAUCAUAGUUAGUUAAUCCGGAUUCAGCAAACAUUCGAUAUGGAUAUAAUACCCAUAAAAUUCGUUUUCUAAUGUUUAAAUUCAUUGAAAAAUUAGGCUUAAAAAACGGAUUAGGCAUAAAAUAUAAAAUAUAAGAUAAUCUAUAUUUAAACAUAAAAAUUAUAAAUUUUUUAUUCAGAUUUUCAGGGAAUAAUUCGCGAAUAAUUCGUGAAUUAUUCGGCUGGUCUAAAAAUUCGUGAAUAAUUUUCUUUCUUUGAAUAAAAAAUUCAUAAAUGAACCAUUUAAUUUAAAAUUUUUAAUAAUUUAUGAAUAAUUCACCAAUAAUUCGCGAAUUAACUAAUAAAGAUUAAAAUAUCUAUAAUAAAUAAUUUAUGUCCUUUGCUUUGUUGGAAAAGCACUUUUGUGGCACCCUUUGAUUUGAUUUUGGAACGCUGCAAUUGUUUCAUUUUCCUGUGGACUCUUUGACCAUUAUCUGUUGAUAUAAAAAAUCUAAGAAAAAUGCUACCUUUUAAAAAUGGGUCAAUUUCAUUUGUGCCCCUCUAAACUUCAAAAAUAUCAUAAAUGUCCCUAUAAAUUUGAUUAUAUCACAAUUACCCCUACAAAUACUUAUUAUUUUUCAAAUAUACCCUUACCCUAACUAUUUAUCUCUUUAUAGAAUGAUAAAAUAUUUAGAUUAUCAUAAAUAUGGUCAAAAUGUCCAUUUUGCCCUUAACUUCUAAAAUUUUUUACAAAAGUAUUUUAGCAUGAUAUAUUUAUUUUAAAAUAUUAAAAUAAACAGUAAAAUAUAUCAUUUUACUGUUGUGUGGUUUAUAAAAUAAGAUACUUUAUAUCAUUUAUUUUAAAAUUCGAGAUGCCAAAGUAUAGAAAUUUGUGCUAGUUCAAAUAACUUAAUUCACAUCAUGCAUAUAUAUUUAAGUUAUAUUUUGAAUAAAUUGUUUAACCUUAUUUUAAGGAAUUGAUAAUAAAUUAGUGUAAAGGUUAUUUUUGAAAGUUUCUCCCUUUUAAAAGGUUAUUUAUGAUAUUUCAAUUUUUAUAGGGGCAUUCAUAAUAUUAGACUUAUUUGGAAGGGUAGUGAUGAAAUUUUCCCUUUAAAAAUGAACAGAGCCCCCUAACCUAUAGUUGUUUUUGAAAAAGCUCCUCAACUAUUUUUGUUUGGAUGUGUGCCUCAUUCAAAGCUAUAUAUAAAGUGAAAACAGCUGUUUUUUUUAGUGGACUCAUUCAAAGCUUUUACGAGUUACUUUAAAUUAUUUUGGGAAAACUUCAAAAAACCCCUUGUGGUUUUGCACUUUUUCAUUUUCACCUUUUAGUUUAAAGUGUAUUUAGUACCAUGUGGUUUCGUACUUUUUUACUUUAGUACCCUGUGAUUUAAAGUGUAUCAAGUUAGUACUCUGUAGUUUUAUUUUUAUAUCAAGUUAGUACUUUAUGAUUUUAUUUUUGUAUUAAGUUAGUAUCCCGUGGUUUUAUUUUUCUCUUAAUGGAAUAUUAAACCACAGGAUACUAAAGUGAGAAAGUGCGAAACCACAGGGUACUAACUUGACACACUUUAAACCAGAGGGUACUAAAGUGAGAAAAUGCGAAACCACAGAAUUCUAAAUUGAUACACUUUAAAUCACAGGAUAGUAAAGUAAGAAAAAGUAAAACCACUGGGGAGGUAUUUGAAGUUUUUUCAAUUAUUUUCUAUUAUUUUCUGUGUCAGAACAAUUUGAAUACAUAAGCUUGUACUUUUAAUUAGUAUUUUUUAACAGCUUGUAUUUAAAAUUAUUGGUUUAUUGUUUAUAAUAUAGAGAUUGAAAAAAAAAAGAUGAUUUAGUGGCCACGUUGAAAAAAAUUAGUAUAAUAUAUAUAGAAAGUGAAAACAAAUCUAUAAGGUACAGUAUAGUGUUGUAUAAUUAAGUUAAGAAAACAUUUCAAAUACCACCUACGUGGUUUCAUAUUUUCUCACUUUAGUAUCCUGUGAUUUAAAGUGUAUCAAUUUAGUAUUAUGUGAUUUUAUUUAUUUUUUUUUUAUUAUCGAUUCUACUAAUUUUUUUUGUUAAAUCAGUAACAAAGUUAAAACUAAAGGGUACUAAAGUGAAUAUUCGAUAUAUCUAGGUGGGGUAUCUAAAGUUUUUUGUAAAUAAUUUAACAAAAUAUUAACGGAAAAAUUGUCGAAAUGAUAAAAAUGAAAAUACAAAAAAUUAAUUUGAUAUAUUUUAAAUCACAUGAUACCGUAGAGUACUAAAAUGAGAAAGUGCGAAACCACAGAAGUGGUAUUAUCCUUAAGUUAAAAAAAACUCAGUUUAAGGGAUAAGGGGGGGAAUAAAAGCAAAACCCCACUCACAACUCAAACUCCUUUACAAAGAAGAAGAAGAAGUACCCAAAACAAAAAGAAAAAAAAAAAAAGCAUCAUCCUUACCAUCAUCAUGAGAAGCCACUCAAACCCAAAAUCCAAAGCAGAAGCAGAAGCAGAAGGUGUUCAUGACCAUGACCAGCCACUCAGCAGCUGCCACGUGGACCAGCCUGCGGCCACCCUGAACCGGGUCCACACCCUCCUCCACCUUGGUGCCACUCUGCUCUUGCUGCGAGCCCGCGCCUCUUCCCUCCGCUCUUGCGGGGGCCGCCCCCUCGCGAUCUUCGCGUCCUCUCUCCUCCUCCUCUCGGCCGAUGCCGUGCUCGCCUUCUUAUGGGCCCUCGGGCAGGCCUUCCGGUGGCGGCCCGUGACGCGCGCCGUGUAUCCGGAUCGGCUCUCGAAAGCGGCGGUCACGCUUCCCGCGGUGGACGUGUUCGUCGUUACAGCCGACCCGGAGAAGGAGCCGGCUGUCAAGGUAUCAGUCGUUUGUCUCAAAAAACUUAAGCUACAUAAGAGAAAAAAAAAAAAAAAGAAAAUAGAAAUCACGGUGCCCUUAUUCAUUUCUUUUUUUCUUUUUUUUUUUGAGAAAGAGAUAAGUAGCAUGCUAUUCGUUUCGUUUAUUUCAUUUAGAAAUAAACUUAGCUAGAAACGUGAAUCAACUAGAAUUUGAACUUGGGUCUCCGGUACCGUGCCCUUAUUUAUUUCAAAAUGUAAUCUAGUUGGGGAGCAUUCGCACAUUUUUAUCAAGUUAAACUAAAUUAGAAGCGAGUUUUUACGAUCCUCGUUCUGGUAUCACGUGAAAUUAUUAUUUUAUAUUUAACAGGUCAUGAACACGGUGAUGUCGGCGAUGGCGCUCGACUACCCGUCCGACAGGCUCACCGUGUAUCUGUCGGACGACGGGGGUUCGCCAGUAACGUUGUUCGCAGCCAAGGAGGCGUAUCGGUUCGCGAGGGCGUGGGUGCCGUUUUGUCGGCGGUAUAAGAUCGCGACGCGGUGGCCGGAGAAGUACUUUAGCGGCGACGAAGGCGGCGGCGACGGUGAGUUCAGAAAGGAACGGAAAAAGCUUGAGGUAUUAUUCAUUACAUAUCAUUCUCUCCGUUAUACCAUUUUGUUACUAUAGUAUACACGAAUAAUUCAAUAAUUAGUUAGGAAAAACCAUUAAUGUGAAGUAAAUAUUUAAAAAGUAAGCUAAAUUAUUGAAAAUUCUUAUAUAAAUAUCUAUUUUUUUAAAUUUUUUUAUGACUUUCAAAAUUCUAUAUUUUAAAUUCUUAACAUUUCAUAAAUAUUUUAAAAAGGAUACGAUGUUAACUGAGAGGACAAAAUGAUCAAAUUAUAAUUACUUCUUAUAUAAGAAAAAAAAAUAAUUUUUAAUAUAUUUUUAUCAUUUUGAAGGGUAUUGUCAGUAUAAAUUAUAAGAAAUCGACGGAAUAGUGACAAACCCUAACAAACGAGGCGCUAAAUGUAACAAUUUGAAAUGUUGAUGAAAUAAAAUACAUAUUUUUAAAAGUUAGGAAGAAAAAGUAAAAAAAAAAAGUAAUUAUAAAAUUUUUUUUGUAAUUUAGCCAAAAAAAAAGUAAUUAUAUUCUAUGCGUGCUAAACUUUAUUUAAUGAAAUAAAAGAGCAUUUUACAAUAAAAAUAUUUAUAUAAGGAAAAUACAAAGAAGCAACUCAAUUUGUCAAAGGAAAAAUCUUAAGUCACACUUAAAGAUAAUUUUAUGUAUAUCAAAAUAUAAAAAAUAAUUUUUGUAAACCAUCACUCCAAUGUAGAAUUUAUAUAUUUCUCUAUUAAUUAUAUCCUUAAUAAUUUGACAUGUCAAAAUAAAAUUUAUUUUAGUGAAUAUCCUAGAAUUCAAUAAAUAAAAUUAAUGUUCAUUUAUAGCUUCUUUUAAUUAAUUUAAUUAAAUCAAUAGUGAAUGGGGCCAAAAGCAAAGCUCAUUGUAUGGGACAAAAAUUCUAUGGGCACCAACCCCAAAUUACUUAAUUUGGGGACAGUCCCCGAUGGGCGCCACGUGGCACACCAUCCACCACUGCUCUCCCCAUAUGCUCUCCCAAUAUGGGGAGAGCAGUGGAACUUCUGGGUGCACCUGGUGCAUCUAUACCAGGUGCACCAUAAAAUUAAUUUUUAAUUUUUAGUUUUUUAAAUUAUAAUUUUAUGCAAUACUUUAUUUAUUUUUUUUAGGAGUUAUCAUGUAGAUAAUAUUAAAAUUUUAAACUCCAUUUGGUUUCGGAAAAAAAAAAGGAAUAAUAAAAAUUAUCCACGCUAUUCCACGAAACCAAAAAUAAAUUUAUUUUAAAUUUUCAAUUUUCUAAAUCAAUAAUUAUGAAUUAUAAACCAUAUAAAUCUUAAAUCAUAACACAUAUACUAACAUAUUAAGUUACAAUUUUAAAAAAUUUUAAAAAUUACAAUUAUGGUGCAACCUGGUAUAGAUGCACCAGGUGCACCCAGAAAUUCCACUGCUCUCCUAUAUUGGGAGAGCAGUGGUGGAUGGGGCGCCGCGUGGCGCCGUGGCGCCCGUGCCAUGCGGCGCCCAUCGGGUACUAGCCCCAAACUAAGUAAUUUAGGGCCGAUGCUCAUAGAAUUUUUGUUCCAUUGUAUGCAUGCUACAACAAUUGAAUCAAUUAAUGCCACGUUUCUUGGACACUUUUUUUUUUUUCUUUUUUUUAACCCCUCCCAUGUUAGUGUACCAAGUUGUAUACUUACUAGGGUUCUCUAGAAUAUCCCUAGACCUAACCCAAAAAAAAAAUUGGGUCUUUUUGGCAAUACAAAUACUAUAAAAAGAAAAAAACUUUUAAAAAUACUUUUUUUGAGAAAUUAAUGAUGCUUAAAAGCAUAUUGAAAUAAUUUACCGUCAUAUUUAAAAGCGUCAACAAAUAAAAAAUUGUUAGUCAUAUUUAAAAGAGUCAACAAAUAAAAAUUCGUUAUAUAUAUAUAUAUAUAGUUGAGCUAGAAUACUAUCGAUAGCAAACGGGCUCCGUUGCCACCCAUUUGUUUUCGAUGAUAGAGUCUCCAAAUCGACGAUCGGCACCGUUGAACAUGAUCUAUACCACUUGAAGUGUUUAGAAAUCAAAUUUCAAAUCUUUUCGACAUCAUUUGCCUAAUAAUCAAAAGGUUUCAAAAUUUGUAAUUUUAAUGAUCGAUAUGAGACGUUUUCUUGUUUAACGGCGUAAAGAUAUCCAAAUCAAUUGAAUUUUUGUUAGAAAAUUCUUUAAACUAUUUAAAACAAGAUCUAUACUCUCGAUCUUGACUACAAGACUCCUAUCAUUAUUUUUUAAAGAAUAUUCAUUUUCAGUCGUUCAUUUUUGUAUCCACUCGAUGGAUAAGAAAACAAUAUCAAAAAAAUAUGAAAUUUGAUUUCUAGAUACUUCAAAUGGUAUAGAUCAUGUUCAACGGUGUCGAUCGUCGAUUUAGAGGCUCCAUCAUCGAAAACAAAUGGGUGGCAACGGAGUCCAUUUGCUACCGAUAAUAUUCCAGUUCAACUCUAUAU
rnacentral:lncRNA from 1 species